rnacentral:rRNA from 1 species
AGUGAACGCUGGCGGUAGGCCUGACACAUGCAAGUCGAACGGCAGCACAGUAAGAGCUUGCUCUUACGGGUGGCGAGUGGCGGACGGGUGAGGAAUACAUCGGAAUCUACUUUUUCGUGGGGGAUAACGUAGGGAAACUUACGCUAAUACCGCAUACGACCUACGGGUGAAAGCAGGGGAUCUUCGGACCUUGCGCGAUUGAAUGAGCCGAUGUCGGAUUAGCUAGUUGGCGGGGUAAAGGCCCACCAAGGCGACGAUCCGUAGCUGGUCUGAGAGGAUGAUCAGCCACACUGUAACUGAGACACGGUCCAGACUCCUACGGGAGGCAGCAGUGGGGAAUAUUGGACAAUGGGCGCAAGCCUGAUCCAGCCAUACCGCGUGGGUGAAGAAGGCCUUCGGGUUGUAAAGCCCUUUUGUUGGGAAAGAAAAGCAGCAGGUUAAUACCCCGCUGUUCUGACGGUACCCAAAGAAUAAGCACCGGCUAACUUCGUG